UACGAACCGUACAAACGUUAUUCGGAAUCACUGGGCUUAAAGGGUGCGUAGGCGGCCAUGUAAGUGAGGUGUGAAAUCCCUCGGCUCAACCGAGGAACUGCGCUUCAUACUGCAUGGCUUGAGGGAGACAGGGGGUAAGCGGAACUGAUGGUGGAGCGGUGAAAUGCGUUGAUAUCAUCAGGAACACCGGUGGCGAAGGCAGGUCUCUGGGCCACUACUGACGCUGAGAAGGCGAAAGCAUGGGGAGCGAACAGG
rnacentral:rRNA from 1 species